AACACACCCAUGAAAUGUGGGCCAAAUGAAUGUGUAAAGUUUAUAGUGUUAUGUCCUCUAUGCUCAGUAUGUUAGUAAGAAUUUGCCUUUAUUAGAGGUUAUGCGUGCAACAGUGUACCAUCAGUUAGACAAUAAGGACUUCCUGAAACAUGUAGUCCUCUAAAAAACAAGGAUUUAUCAGAUGAUAAUCUAAUAUCUGAUGUGAUUGUCAGCAUAACUGAUUAAAAGCGGGACAAAAUUUUCAGACAUUUGUGACGGAACAAUGGCUGAGCUACCUCAGCAAUUAUUCCUCAGUCUUUAAAAGACAUAUUGACAGUUUUGUUUUGAUACUGUGUCUCACUUUGUUACUGUGAGUGACGUGUCUCAAAUUGACGUGUGCCCAAAAAAUAAAGGGUCUGAACAAAUGA